rnacentral:rRNA from 1 species
GAGUUUGAUCCUGGCUCAGGAUGAACGCUGGCGGCGUGCCUAAUACAUGCAAGUCGAGCGAACUGAUUAGAAGCUUGCUUCUAUGACGUUAGCGGCGGACGGGUGAGUAACACGUGGGCAACCUGCCUGUAAGACUGGGAUAACUUCGGGAAACCGAAGCUAAUACCGGAUAGGAUCUUCUCCUUCAUGGGAGAUGAUUGAAAGAUGGUUUCGGCUAUCACUUACAGAUGGGCCCGCGGUGCAUUAGCUAGUUGGUGAGGUAACGGCUCACCAAGGCAACGAUGCAUAGCCGACCUGAGAGGGUGAUCGGCCACACUGGGACUGCGACACGGCCCAGACUCCUACGGGAGGCAGCAGUGGGGAAUAUUGGGCAAUGGGCGAAAGCCUGACCCAGCCACGCCGCGUGAGUGAUGAAGGCCUUCGGGUCGUAAAGCUCUGUGGGGAGGGACGGAA